GGGGCUGACAUGGAUUAGACAGCAGGUCGAGUGGGAGUGUAAGCAUGCCGAGCGCUGUGAACGCGGCUCGUUAAUCCCGAUUCUCACGCCUAUAAACGGCAACAACAAUUACGCAUUGGCUGCUUAAUACAAUUAUUAAGUGCCUUUUGCUUCCCGGGAAGCUACGCCUGGCCGCGUCCCCAAGGAAGCAUCGUCAAAAGCCGGGAUAAGUCAUGUAAAGCCUUGGUGCAUGGAUUAAAAUUAAAAAGGCUCAGGUAGAGAAUAGGGUCGCCUUUUGCCGGUUCGAAGCCGAAUUAACAACUAAAGGAUAAGCAUGUAGAAAGCAUUUUUGCUGCUUGUUUGGACGAGGGUUCAAUCCCCUCCAGCUCCACAA
rnacentral:tmRNA from 1 species